rnacentral:rRNA from 1 species
GACGAACGCUGGCGGCGUGCUUAACACAUGCAAGUCGAACGGAAAGUCCCUGCUUUUUUGGGGUGCUCGAGUGGCGACCUGGUGAGUUACACGUGAGUAACCUGCCCUUGACUUUGGGAUAUCUUCAGGAAACUUGGUCUCAUACCGGCUAGGAGCUCCUGCUGCAUGGUGGGGGUUGGAAAGUUUCGGCGGUUGGGGAUGGACUGGCGCCUUAUCACAUUGUUGGUGGGGUAGUGGCUUACCAUGGCUUGGACGGGUAGCCGACCUGGGAGGGUAACCGGCCACACUGGGACUGAGAUACGACCCAGACUACAACGGGAGGCAGGGGUGGAGAGGAUUACACAAUAGGCUGAAGCAUGAUGCAACAACGCCGCGUGCGGGAUGAGGGCCAGGGGGUUGGAAAGCGAUGUCGCCUGAGACGAGGCGUGAGUGACGGUAAUGGGUAAAGAAGCACCGGCUAACUACGUG